AUGUUUGGAAAAAAAAUACAUGACACACCCAAUAUGAUAAUGACGCCUGAAGUAUAUGAAAGAGAAGACAAAAAAAUAAAACAUGGUAAAAAGCUUGUUAUUGAAAAUUGUGGAAAAUAUAUGAACAAGGAUAAAAAUGCAGGUGUUGUAUGUAAUAGAAUAAGUGAAUUAAAUAUGAAUUCAAGAAAAAAUAUAUCUUUUGUAAAAACGGAUAGUUCUCAAAUGAAAGAUGUUUUAAAUCAUGCAGAACAUACAGAAAUAGAAAAUAUACCUUCUAAAAGACCUUUAGUUUCUUAUUCAAAAUAUGAUGAUCAACAAAAAUAUUUUGAAACAAAAAUAAUUCCAAAUGAAGAAGGGAAAAUGAGUAUAUAUGUAAAAAGAAAAAAUGGUAGUGCAACUGUAAAUAUUAAUAUCGAUGAAUAUGAUUUAGAAAAAACCUAUCAUACAUGGAAAAGAAUUUUAGGUAAAACAUGUCCUCAUAUUAAAUCGAAUUUAGAAUUUGACAGAUUUUUAACAGUUAAUGAAGAUGCUAAAAGAAGUGAUAAAAUACCAGUCAUUAUUAAUAGAGGUAUACCUAUUGCUAACCCAGAUGGACCUUUUGAAAAAGAAAGAUUAGAUCAACCUGAACAAGCAAGAGAUCAUUUAGAUCGAACAUUAACACCAUUAAAUGAUAAUAAACCUAAAAUCUGUUUAAAGUUAAAUAAUGAUAAAUAUAAACAAUCUAAUGUUUUUCCAAAUUAUUAUCAACAACCUAACAAUAAUAAUACUACUACUGUAUUUGAUGAUAAUAAUAAAUAUAAUAAUAAUGAGGAAAUUAUUUCAAAAAAUAAAAAAUCAGCAAGAACAGUUAACUAUACAUGGAUGAACUCGAAUAGAAUUAAAAAUAUUUUAACUCAUAACUACGAUGAUGAAAUUGAACAAAAAUAUAAAUAUGGUCAUAAUAAUAUUAUUAAAAAAAACGUAAAUAGCCAAGUAAAUAAUAAUAAUCAACAAGUUGAUCGAAAUGUAUACAUUCAACCUGUUAUAACUGGUAAAGUUGGGGAACUUAAUCCAGUUGAACAAGUUCCUACUGAAAUAAAUUAUAACACGUAUAAUGAUUUAUAUAGGGAACAAACUUAUCCAAACAAUACCAAUUUUUUACAAAAUAAUAAAUAUAAUUCGGAGUCUUAUAAAAAUAAUGAACAAUAUAAAAAUGUUGAUUAUUUAAAACCUCAACAAAAUUGUAUUUAUCCAUGUAGUAAUAAUGCUAAUGGCAAUGUUAGUGGUAAUGCUAGUGGUAAUGCUAGUGGUAGUAGUAGUAGUAGUAACGUGGAAAAAAAUAAUUAUGAACAACAAAAUGGAUCAUAUACACAACAUCAACACACAAAUGAUACUCAUCACCAAACGUGUGAUAAAAUAAUGUCACAAUAUGGAUAUAAUCAUGAACAUACACAUUAG
rnacentral:lncRNA from 1 species